CAGUAGCCACGGGAAUACGGAGGGCGCGAGCGUUACCCGGAUUUACUGGGCGUAAAGGGCGUGUAGGCGGCCUGGGGCGUCCCAUGUGAAAGGCCACGGCUCAACCGUGGAGGAGCGUGGGAUACGCUCAGGCUAGAGGGUGGGAGAGGGUGGUGGAAUUCCCGGAGUAGCGGUGAAAUGCGCAGAUACCGGGAGGAACGCCGAUGGCGAAGGCAGCCACCUGGUCCACUUCUGACGCUGAGGCGCGAAAGCGUGGGGAGCAAACCGGAUUAGAUACCCCUGUAGUCCCUGUCUCUUAUAC
rnacentral:rRNA from 1 species